rnacentral:rRNA from 1 species
CCAUAAGCCUUUUUAACUUUUGACCUCGGAUCAGGUAGGGAUACCCGCUGAACUUAAGCAUAUCAAUAAGCGGAGGAAAAGAAACCAACAGGGAUUGCCCUAGUAACGGCGAGUGAAGCGGCAACA